UUAACGCACAACGCAUGCCCAAACCAAAGCACUCAAUUUUCUUGUUGUGAUCGGAGGUUGAAGUCAUCAAGAUGCGUAUCGAAGGGAUUGAGAAACUUUCGAACUUUUACUCUUUGUUUUUUGGAACACUUGGCGUCGGAGCAGCUAUAGUAUACAAUAUCAGUCGGUCGAGGCCAGGCCAUUCAAGUAUUUAUUUACAUAUUGGUUUUGGAACACUAGGAUAUUAUACUGGUGAUGCCUUGAAUAGAUAUAAACAAAGAGCUAUAAAUCAACGUAUGGUGGUUCUACAAGAUUACAUGGCAAGACAUCCUGAUGAUUUUGUUGGACAAGAGGCUAAAAAGUUCAAGGAUGUUUUUCAACCAUGGACCCCUGUCCGAUAACUUAAAAAAGAUGUUGAUGAUGAAACAGAUGAUUGUGUGUGAUGUGUGAUGAAAUACUGUUACGGUAAUAUUAGUGCUAUAUGAACCAUUCAGGACAACUACACAGAACAAUAAAUAGUACAUUAAAGAUAAAACUAAGAAAUUGUUUUAAGGUUUUUUAUUAAGGAUUAUGCAGUAUCUUGAGGCGAAAUAGACAGAAAGACUUUAAAAUGGAUACCAAUUAGUAGUAUAAUACUGUGAAACUGUUGGGUUUAAGAGUAUAUUGUAGUACUAGAUUUGUUAUUAGAUGAUCCUAAUGUUAUAAUUUUUUAUUGGCUCGAAUACGAAAUAGUACUAUAUAAAGUUGUAAAUUGUUUUUACUAUCGGUUCCACUAUCAGGAAAUAACAGUAAUUAAAGUUAUUACUGUGAUA